rnacentral:lncRNA from 1 species
AUGCAUUGUGUUUGCAAAUGCUUUUCAUUUAUGUUUUGUUGUUGUAACAACUGUUGUUGGUUCCAGGAUAUGGUCCAGGAGCUGGAGCUACCAACAGUGUUAAAAGCAAUGGAUAUGGUCCAGGAGCUGGAGUUCCCAGUGAUCAGGGAGCCAAAGGCAAUGGAUAUGGUCCAGGAGCUGGCAUUCCCAAUGGUGGUGCUAAACCCAUGGUAAACCAUGGUUACUUUGUCUGUGUCUACGGCCCUAUUCAAUGUGUGUCUUUC